rnacentral:rRNA from 1 species
AACGUAGGGGACAAGCGUUAUCCGGAUUUACUGGGCGUAAAGCGCCCGUAGGCGGCUUGAUAAGUUGGACGUGAAAGCUCCCGGCUUAACUGGGAGAGGCCGUUCAAAACUGACAGGCUAGAGUGAGGAAGAGGAGAGCGGAAUUCCUGGUGUAGCGGUGAAAUGCGCAGAUAUCAGGAGGAACACCGGUGGCGAAGGCGGGUCUCUGGGCCGAUACUGACGCUCAUGCACGAAAGCGUGGGGAGCAAACAGG